CAGCAGCCGCGGGAAUACGAGGGGUGCACGCGUUAUUCGGAUUGAUUGGGUGUAAAGGGUGUGCAGACGGCUUAUUAAGUCACUCGUUAAAUUCUUCGGCCUAACUGAAGGUCUGCAAGUGAUACUGAUGAGCUAGAGGGUGGAAGAGAGAAGUGGAAUUCUCGGAGUAGCGGUAAAAUGCGUAGAUCUCGAGAGGAACACCAAUGGCGAAGGCAGCUUCUUGGUCCAUUCCUGACGUUCAUACACGAAAGCGUGGGGAGCAAACAGGAUUAGAUACCCCUGUAGUCCCUGUCUCUUAUAA
rnacentral:rRNA from 1 species